GGGGCGUUAGCGCAGUUGGUAGCGCACGACACUGGCAGUGUCGGGGUCAGGGGUUCGAAUCCCCUACGCUCCA
rnacentral:tRNA from 13 species